UACGUAGGGUGCAAGCGUUAAUCGGAAUUACUGGGCGUAAAGCGUGCGCAGGCGGUUGUGCAAGACCGCUGUGAAAUCCCCGGGCUCAACCUGGGAAUGGCAUUGGUGACUGCACGGCUAGAGUGUGUCAGAGGGGGGUAGAAUUCCACGUGUAGCAGUGAAAUGCGUAGAGAUGUGGAGGAAUACCGAUGGCGAAGGCAGCCCCCUGGGAUAACACUGACGCUCAUGCACGAAAGCGUGGGGAGCAAACAGG
rnacentral:rRNA from 1 species